UAGGCUUUUGGGACGGUAAAGUUACCGUCCUUAAUUAACUACCCUAUCAAAAUGAUAUAGUUUUUGUCAAUUAAGUAUAUAUUUGUAUAUGUAUUUUCUUAUUCGAUGUGCUCUAUGUCUGAAGACUGUUUCUUGCCCUAGCUCGGUCUUCUCCUUCUCCUUCCAUCCUCUUUCUCAAACUGGUUUGUUCUUCCCCGACUGAUCUCUUUCUUUUCAAUUAAGUAUAUAUCUGUAUAUGUAAUCCAUGAGGGAUCACUCCGCUAAAUUUCUUAUUCGAUGCGCUUUGUGCCUGAAGACUGUUUCUUGCCCUAGCUCGAUCUUCUCCUUCCGUCCUCUCUCUCAAACUAGUUUGGUCUUCCCCAAUCGAUCUUUUUUUUUUUUUUUUUCAAUUGAAGUCGUAGCCCUAGAUUUUCUCUUUCUCAAGGUGGGUAUCAACAUGGAGGUCUUGAAGAGCCCCCCAACAACAGAAGCCAAAAAUGAUCUUUCCUGAAUUCCUUUGCUCUCCUAUCGACGAGUCCUCUAACACUCUCAGCCGUCUUCAACAUCAAUCCCACCGCCGUUUAUUGGCUUCUUCUUCGUCUAAUUGGGUGAACAUCUAAUUCAAUUCAAUUAAGAGGCAGCAAAGUCAGUCCAUCAACAGAUCUUCUCUACAAGGACUACCAGAUUGACCAGAAGUUCAGUGUCACUAUUUACUCUUCUACUAGUGUUUUUAUCCAGGAACCAUUCUUCCUAAAGCUGAUUCAGAGAGAGUGUACAGCUCAUAAAGAUAUGUUAGAAGGUAUGCAUCACACACUACCUCAUAUAAAUUAUAGCAUUUGAUUGUUAACAUCUCCAUAAGAAGAGUAAAAAAAAUCUUGGCAUUCAUCAACAAAAGGCCAUUAAUAAACAAAGACAUUGAAAUUAAAAUCAAACACACAAGAAGAAAGAUAAUGUAACUGACAUAAAAAUUAUGAACAUAAAUAACAAAAGAAAGUAAUUGUAACAAAUAGAAAAACGAUUUUUUUUUUUUACCAAAACCAAAACACAACAUAACUCUAUUCUUGCAGAGAAAAAAGUAAAAAAGAAAACCUCAAAAAGAACAGACUUUUACCCAUAAUUGUAUACCUAUAAUGGGCAGGAUUUAUCAGCAAAAGGAGAUUUAAGAAACAAAGAAGAAGAAAGUAAAAUCAAAGAUAAUGUUACUGACAUAAAAAUUCUAAAUAAAAAAAUGUUCUGAAUAAAAAAAUGAAGUAAUUGUAACCAAUACAAAGACUAAAAAAAGUUUCAUUAUUAACUAAACUCUGAAUUCUGAAUUUUUAUAAAAAUAAAAAACCAACGAAAAAAAAAAGAGAGGAAAAAAAGCAAUUAAAAAGAACUAAUUUUUACCCUUAAAUUGUAUACACAAUCGCCUCGAUUCAUCAACAAAAGAAUAAACAAAGAAAAAGAAAUUAAAAUCAAACACGCACAACAAAAGUAAUAAUAAUAAUAAUGUAACCAAAGAAAAAUUCUGAAUAAAAGUUUAAAAUGAAGUAAUUGUAACAAAUAGAAAAAGUAAGUAACCAAAAAAAAAAAACAAUUAGAAAACUAAAAACGUUUCAUUCUAAACUCAAAAUUCUGAACUUUCACUAGAACUCUAUUCUUCAUUUUAACUUCGAUAUCUGGGUAACAUGCAUAUAUAUGGGUAUCUUUUUUUCUUUCCAUCAAGGUUCUAUGCCUUGUAUUGGUGUAUCAUUUUUUAUUAAUAAUGAUGUGAAGGGUAUUUGAAUUGGUUGACAUCUGGGUAUCAUUAGUAUUGAUUGGUGGCAUACUGGUGUGUGAAUUCACCAUUUUUCUUGUAAUAUGACUUCAAAUUGCAUGUCUGUUACUCCAAUAAGAGCAUAAACACAGUCCUUUCUUUUGUUGGAAAAACCAUGUCUGGAUCAGGUCAAACCACUGGUUUUCACAAGCCUAGAUUAGUUGUCAAGAAGGUCUUGGCCAAGCCUCAAAGUGAAGGCCAUGGUGCUGUUGUUAGGAAAAGCAUUGGAAGGUACUCUGAUUUUCUUCAUUUUUUUUUCAUCAAUUCUUUGGAUAUUAUGUCAUUUGGGUAUUGAAAUUUUUCUGGGUUUUCUCAAUUUUGAUUCAUGAACACUUAUUAUUUGAACAAUUUGUCUUAUGGGUAUGAAUUGUUUUGUGUGUUUUAUGCAUUUUGAUCCAAUAGUUCUUGUUGCUUAGGUGUUUUAGUUUUGUCAUGUUUAUAUUGAUUGCUUAUAGGUAAUUGAUGGGGAUUUGACUUUUCAGGUCAGAAUUGAAGUAUUUGGAUCCUUUUCUCAUGUUGGAUGAGUUUGCAGGUCAAAUUUGAUGAUCACCUAUUUAAUCAUGGCACUCUUGAUAUCCAUUCUAAUGUAAUAUGACCAUACUGUCCUUGAUCAUACAGUGUCACCUCCUGCUGGAUUUCCUGAUCACCCACACAGAGGUUUUGAGACUGUAACAUAUAUGUUGCAGAUGGAAGCAAAAGUCAUUUCAAGAGAAAUUGCUGUUUAUGUUGAUUGAAGGACUUCGACAGUUGAAUAUUGUGGUCUGGAAUAGCGAUACUAUCUAUUACGAACGACUCCAUUGGUAGGUUCAUUACAAAAAUCCUUUCUCAAGGCUACAAUGACUGCCCUGGCCACUUCAGACUCAAACUGGCUGGUAUAAUCUUCUUGAUUGAAGAUCAUUACUUCAUGAUUAGCUCAGGUUUGGUGAAUUCUAAAAUGUAGUAAUAAAUUUGGACAAUAAUGUUAGUUAAGCUUAAGGUUAAAUUUAUAGACAAUGCUUUUUUUUAUAAUCAAAUAAAAUUUUUGAUAGUGGUUCUUAUCACAUAUGACAAGUUUCAGGAAGUUGCAAUAGAAGGCUUUUACUGUUGGGAAUAGGCACGUUAACUUUGAGUCUAUACCCUGCAAAUUCCCUUUUUUCUGAAGGUAUAAUGGUUUGCAGUAAAAUUUGAAGAAAAUUCUUAAUGGCCACUUCAAGAAUAACAUGAGAUUUUCACUGUCAAAUGUCUUUGUGGAACUUGGAUCAUAGAUCAAAUAGUAGUGAUUAAUAUAGUAUAUACUUUGUUUUUUUUGGUUUGAAGAUAUAGUUUUAUAUGGUAAAAUUGUCUUAUAUGUAGAGCAUGACCAUAUUCCAUAAAGUGGUUAUUUUAUUCACUUCACUAACUCUAUGUUGUUUAUGAACAUUUCUUCCUUUUUUAGAAUAUUUUGUUCUUCAAUUGAAUUGUAUGUAGAAUUUGAUUGAAUAAUACAUCUUAAUUUCACUACAACUCUAAUUAUUUUGACAGUUCUUAGCAUUUUCGAGUUGCACCAGGGUACAUGACUUUAUGGCAAUAUGGCUAUAGGUUUUUCAGAAUAGGACAUUAGAGAGGGGCACUGCAUUCAGUUCCUUACCCAUUCUUUCUUUAAAGCUUUAGCAUUAAUUAAGUUUAGUACACAUGCAACAGUGAGAAUAGUGUUACAAGAGUGUAAGUUGCCUACUUUCUGUGAUGAUUUUAGUUACUUACAUACUUGUUAUGUACCUUAUUACUUAGCGAUAGUGCUGAUUCAUGGUUUUCAUUGUAUAAUGGUGUGAUAACAAAGUUUCCCUUUCUACACACAGUGAUCUUGGAAAUGCAAAUUUAUCUGGUCAACUGGUUCAGCAGCUUGGUCAGCUUUUGAAUUUACAGUACUUGUGCUGAACAUAAAAAGAGUAGUGAGCAAAAUGGUUAAGUUCCAAUCCAAUGAACCAUUACAUCACCAUUAACUAUUGUCUUAUUUAUAUUUUAUCUUCAUCAAUUUGAUUAUAGGUAAUAUACUAGCUAGUGGUAUUGUUCAGUUUUUAUUUGUUCGCUUUUUCAAAUUGUAGAUGUUUAAAAUGGGGACAUACCUUUCAGGAAGGUGCAUUUCAACGUUGGUUGAUAUAUGAAAGAAAACUAGGAUUGGGUUUUUCAUUUUUUUUCUCACUUUCCUAAUUUCUCUCACUUCUCUUGGAUUCAAACAUAUAGGAGAUGCAUGGAAGAUGCUACUUGGAACGGCUGGAGCAAUGAUGCCUGACUAUGAGGAUGUUGAAACCAUUUGAUGUUAAAGCUGCUACUAUUUGGAACGGCUGGAGCAAUGAUGCCUGACUAUGAGGAUGUCGAAACCAUUUGAUGUUAAAACUGCUAGCGAAUAUUUUGUAGUUUUUGUUAGGUUAAAUUGGAGAUUUUAUAGUUUCAUUAUGAAAUUAAGAGCUUGAAGUUUUUAAAGAUUUUAUAGCGCUAUUGUGAUAAUUCUUUUUCUGAACUUGAUAUUGGUAUAGAACAUAUUAAUUGUGUUCUUUUUAUUCAGAAUUUGUCCCAUUUGAUUCAGCAAAGUUGCAUGCACAAUCUCCCUUUUCUUUUCUUCAUACCUUGGACUUGCAACAUAAAAUGUUUUAAUCAUACAAAUCAAACCGAGCCCAAAAUAAAAACAUAAUAAUAAAAAUAAAAAAUCAAA